rnacentral:rRNA from 1 species
CUUUUGCUGGCGACCGGCGCACGGGUGAGUGACACGUAUCCAACCUGCCCUUUACUCGGGGAUAGCCUUUCGAAAGAAAGAUUAAUACCCGAUAGCAUAAUGAUUCCGCAUGGUUUCAUUAUUAAAGGAUUCCGGUAAAGGAUGGGGAUGCGUUCCAUUAGGUUGUUGGUGAGGUAACGGCUCACCAAGCCUUCGAUGGAUAGGGGUUCUGAGAGGAAGGUCCCCCACAUUGGAACUGAGACACGGUCCAA